rnacentral:rRNA from 1 species
AAACUUUCAACAACGGAUCUCUUGGUUCUGGCAUCGAUGAAGAACGCAGCAAAAUGCGAUAAGUAAUGUGAAUUGCAGAAUUCAGUGAAUCAUCGAAUCUUCGAACGCACAUUGCGCCCGCCAGCAUUCUGGCGGGCAUGCCUGUUCGAGCGUCAUUU